rnacentral:rRNA from 1 species
GGCAGCGGGAAAGUAGCUUGCUACUUUUGCCGGCGANCGGCGGACGGGUGAGUAAUGCCUGGGGAUCUGCCCAGUCGAGGGGGAUAACAGUUGGAAACGACUGCUAAUACCGCAUACGCCCUACGGGGGAAAGGAGGGGACCUUCGGGCCUUUCGCGAUUGGAUGAACCCAGGUGGGAUUAGCUANUUGGUGGGGUAAUGGCUCACCAAGGCGACGAUCCCUAGCUGGUCUGANAGGAUGAUCAGCCACACUGGAACUGAGACACGGUCCAGACUCCUACGGGAGGCAGCAGUGGGGAAUAUUGCACAAUGGGGNAAACCCUGAUGCAGCCAUGCCGCGUGUGUGAAGAAGGCCUUCGGGUUGUAAAGCACUUUCAGCGAGGAGGAAAGGUUGGCAGCUAAUAUCUGUCAGCUGUGACGUUACUCGCAGAAGAAGCACCGGCUAACUCCGUGCCAGCAGCCGCGGUAAUACGGAGGGUGCAAGCGUUAAUCGGAAUUACUGGGCGUAAAGCGCACGCAGGCGGUUGGAUAAGUUAGAUGUGAAAGCCCCGGGCUCAACCUGGGAAUUGCAUUUAAAACUGUUCAGCUAGAGUCUUGUAGAGGGGGGUAGAAUUCCAGGUGUAGCGGUGAAAUGCGUAGAGAUCUGGAGGAAUACCGGUGGCGAAGGCGGCCCCCUGGACAAAGACUGACGCUCAGGUGCGAAAGCGUGGGGGAGCAAACAGGAUUANAUACCCUGGUAGUCCANGCCGUAAACGAUGUCGAUUUGGAGGCUGUGUCCUUGAAACGUGGCUUCCGGAGCUACGCGUUAAUCNA